AGAAACAAAUGUUUGUAUUCGCUCUAAGAAUUUUUUAUCUCGUGUAGUAGUAGUUAAGGUAAAAAUAGAACUAGCUUUAUAGAAUACACGUAGUCGAAACUGAAAGGUUGAUCGAUCACAAUGUGGCCUGAACAAAGCCCAUGACAAAAGUAGCAGCAGUGAGGAAUAUUGGUCAAUAGCCUAACGGCUGAACCAGCAACUUGGAGGAAAGUAAAGCAAUUGCUGAUUACAUUAAAUCUUUUAUAAGAUUUAGAGCUGAAUGUAAUUACUACUUAGUAGUUUAAAUUUCGAGGUAGAAUCUGAUGAUGACAUUUUCUAUCUUUAUGUCUUGACCAAAUUACGUGCCAGCAGUCGCGGUAAUACGUAGAAGACGAGUGUUAUUCAUCUUUAUUAGGUUUAAAGGGUACCAAGACGGUUAAUAAAGCCCAGUAUAUAUUAAAACGAGGGGACACAUUGACUAGAGUUAUAUGAAAGGAAGCUCGAAGGUACUGUUGAGUGUAGAGAUGAAAUUCUGUCAUACCAGAUGAGUGGCACAGAUUUAGGCGAAGGCAUCUUCUUAUGUAAUAACUGACGUUGUAGGACGAAGGCUUUUGAAGUGAACAGGAUUAGAUACCCCAGUAAUCUUAGCAGAAAAUGAUGAAUGUCAUAGGUUAAUCAAAAUUAUAAAACAAAUACUUAUAAUUAGGAUUGGUCUAUAAA
rnacentral:rRNA from 1 species